UUUGAACAACUAUAGUAGGCAACAUAUUAUGGACGGGUGAUUUUGCAGCCAAGUUGAUUCAGAAAUAUGAGUCUAAGUCCUUUAAAAAAAUUAUAAGUUUAUUGAUUUAGGUGGAAGCAUGCCAUGCUGGGAGCAUGUUUGAAACAAAUCUUACAAAUAAUAUAAGUAGUAUCAAUGUGGUUACAACUGGAAAUGGAGGAGAGAGUAGUUAUGGAUAUUACCGUCCAUAUGAAACAUAUCCCCUACAAAUGUUUUAUCAUGUGUGGGAGAUUUGUACAAUAUUUCUUGGAUGGAAGAUACGUAUAUUGAAUAAUUAAACUAGUAGAAGACUCGGGCGUCCGCACGGGUUAUCUUUUAGUUAUUACAGUCUGUCAUACCCCAAAAUUUGCCCACACUAUUUCUCCUAUUCAAAUUCAAAUCAAGGUCUCAAUUCAAGGGAUUGGUCACUCAGUUGCUCAGAAAGUCAACCAAAAGUCAUCUUUUUCAAAAGAGUACAUAAGGAGCAUGGAAAAUUAUUUUGACAUGAGACAAAAAAAAACACUAGUUCAAGGACAUAUCGAGCUUUCUAAAAAGUCCUAGAACUCCUCCAUAUCCUAAAAUUCAAGGGAGAUACGCUUUGUCAAAGUUGGUUAAUUUUGAUGAAAUACAUGAAGCAAAUGAAGGUUAAAAUGGAUUUUUCUCCCAAAUGGGCCCAAAUAAUUGAUCCCAAACUUAAUUCAUGAACAACCAUCCAUGAUCCAUUGGCUUUUUUCAUUUAUUUUUUAGUAUUUGUUAUUUAUUUUGUUUUGAAUUUAAUCAUUUUAAUUCAAAAUUAAAUUAAAAGAAAUACUAGAAAUAAUGAAAGAUUGUAUUUAAUUUUAAAUUAAAACCAAUAUCUCUUCAUAAAAACCAGGGCAAAUCAUUUGGAAUUGGGUUCAUAGAAUUGAUGAGAAUGAUACGUAUUUGGAAAAGUUGGCAAUCAAAAUUCAAUCAAAGAUUUCUCACACUCCAAUCUCCAUAAUAACAAAGAUUUGAACCAUAAUUCUUGACCUAAACUGAUACUCUAUAUAAUGACAAGAAUUCUCAAGCCCUGGGAGGUUUUUUUUGGCUGCAAGGAGAUAAACUCGGCACCUUAAUCAAGUUGCAGGUUUCUGAAAAAAUCAUCAUAGCAGUCACGUUUGCAAGGAAGAUCAGAGGCUGCUAGAGAUUCAAACGUGUUCCUGGAGUAUUGUGGAUCGUUUCCCAAUCGAGAUCAAGGCCUGAAGCACUCGGAAGCACCAUCCACACGCUCACGGUUUGCGUGAAUUUUGUUGUUUUCGAUUUCGCAAUUUCACAAAUUGUAAACGUGAUUUGCUUGUAUAUUUGCGUUCACUUUCAUGUUUACAAUAUAUCUGGAUGCUUUAAUUUGAGUUUCGUUGCAGAAUCCAGAACUCACCAUGGCUAGGUUUUGUGAGCUUCCGAUUGGGGGUUCUGAAUAGAAGCGAAAUUGUCCAAAACUAAUGGUCCCAUUGUGUUCAGAAUAUGUCUUUUAUUUAAUCUAGAUUAUUCCUUUGCAUUAUUUGAUGAUGAUUUGCAGAUUGGAGAGUGAGAUACCUAUGGCCACGAGUGGGCGAAAAUUGCUGUGUUCUUAAAAAUCCCAACGAGGAAGAUGAAGGGCGCGUGCAGCAUUUUGAAUUCAAUUACGUUCAUUUUUUUUAUAUAUUAAAUCCGCGCGAAUCCAUUAACAGCGCAUUGCUCUUGCCCCAGCGUAGAAGGAGUGCACCUUAAGUUCUUGAUGUGCAAGGGCAUGGGUUCGAUCCCUGCCUCUUGCGUUCUUUUUGAGACAUUUCUCUGUAUAUUCCUGCAGAUAGAUACAGCGCACGCAUCCUCACCAACCAUCGGGUACACCCUCGCAUCACACUCAUCAGAUCUUCUCAAAGUCCAGAUCCAACGUGCCCAAGGCUGCAGGUGCACCAUGAACCUCAUGCAAGUGACACACAUGAUCCCAGCUAAGUUUUCAACAUUUUUUUUUUAUUUUAUUUUAAUUAUAUAAUAAAACAAUUAAUUAAUUAUUUAAAUUUUUAUUUUAUAUUAAUUUAUUUUAAUAUAUAUCAUUUAAUUGCUUUUUCUUUUCUCUAUAAUAAUAAAACAAUUAAAACUAUAAAAUCUUUUUACUUUUAUAUAUAAUUUAUUUAAUUAUUUAUUUAUUUUAUACACUUAUUUCAUAUACAUAUUUAUAUUUAUUAUUGUUUUAUUAUAUAUUAUUUAUAUCAAUUUUAUUUUCUUAAUUAUAUAUAUUAUAUAUUUAUAUAUUUGUUUAAUUAUAUAUUUAUGUAAUUGUAUUUAUUUGCUUUUUCUUAUUUUAUGUAUAAUAUUUCAAAAAAUUCAUACAUGUUUUUGCUUUUAUUCCUAAGAAUAUAUUUCAUGCUCGAUUUUAUUUUCUCGACCCGAUUUAAUUAAUUAGGUCGUCAGACCAAUAAUUAAUUAAAUUAUUUUCUUUUUCUUUUCAAUUUAUACCCUAAUCAGGGUUUUCAACGAUCGUUCCCUACACUAAAAAUAUUUGUUUUUCUAUGCCUCUUUUUCAGGUUCACUUCUCGAAUACGCCCCGACUAUGCGCCACGUCAAAAGAACGAAGCUAAGUUCUAAACCUUUUUUUGUUAAUAUUAUUUACCUUUAAUUUUGUUUAAUUUGGGUUUAAUUUCCUCGCACAUAGAAUUUCUCCUACAUUCAUUUCCUUCUUUUUCUAUUGCCAAUGUUUCAAUGGUCAGAGUCAAUGCUUCAGGCUACCUCCAAUUAUCAACCUUCAAAAACACGAAGUUAAGUUUCUUUUACCCUUUUUCUUUUAUUAUUAUUUUCAUUUUUAGGGUUAACCCUAAUUGUCUCCGAACAAAUAAUACACUCACCCCUUUUUCUGUUUAUUCUUUCUUUUCAAUUUUCAGGGUUUGUCGACCGCCAAAGCUACGAGUGUUGGUAACCCUAAACCCUAACCCUAAUGUUUCUGCUUUUAUUAUUACUUAUAUCAAACCCUAUUAAGGGAUCCGCUGGUUACAAUUUCCCUCCCCCGUAUUUGUGUGAUUAUAUUAUUUAAAUUGCGUGGUUAGUAAUUUAGGGAGUGCAAUCUUGAACUGAAUUAGAGUCAUUUAAUUAUAAGAUAAUAUAUUCCGAAUUGAAUCACGUGAUUGGUGCACACACGCACACUUUUGAGUAACCCUCUCUGUUGUCUGUUGCCUGUUGCCCGUUGCCUUUGCCUUGUGUAUUUUUUGCAGAAUAGCCAGUCCCUCGAAUACGAGGAUACCUCAGCCAUGUUGCCUCGAUUAAAGGUCAUGGUCCCUAAUGAUGCUGCCUUCGAUACACUAACAUGACCUCGACCCUCGGAAGUUGCCUACGAAAAAGGCUGAGGUAUCUUCUGGUUGCCUACGAAAGGCUAUUCUGGAUCCUUCCUCUUAGACUACCUGCCUCUCUAUGGCAUGGGUCAGUCUUUGGGCGAAUGAUAACGAGAUGACCCUUCAACCUCCAAACGAAAGGCUUCCUGCCCUCUUAUGGCAAGGAAGCCUUUCAUCCUGAAAGGCUAAAAAGAGACCUAUCAUCUAAGUUUAAGGUAAUUGCCCCUAAUUGCUUUGCCUUGCUCUAAACCUCUUGCUAUAUUCUUUCUCAAAAUUCUUCAAAAGGGCAACGCUUAUUUACAAGCUAAAGUCCCUAUCUCUUUCAUCUACAUUUUCUGAAAACAAAAGCAAGCAAAGCAAUUAAGAGCCCAUGGAAAACCAUGGAUGCAAAGGGUGCCUUACACCUUCCCUUUGCAUAAAAUACCCCCCGAACUCAGAUUUCCUUAAAAGGUUUUUUUCUGUUUCUUUUAGCCUUUCUAACUUGUUUGGAUAAAAUAAAAGUCGAUGGCGACUCUUGCUUACCGCGACAUUUCGAUAUAAAGUCAGUUUACCGUAUUACACAGUCCAAUGUCUUUGUUGUGAAACUAUCUAAGUGCGUAUUUACAGUGGGGUAAAGUUAAUUACGUAGGCCAGAUGAUUUUUGUUGGCACUGUUGCACCUGAUCUUGAAGGCCAUUUUAGAAUGGCCUCAACCACGUUCGCUCACAGCACUUCGCGGGUUUUUGGGUCUAACACGUUUUUAUCGUCGUUUUAUUUGUCUUUAUGCCUCACUCGUCACUCCCCUCACCGAUCUUUUGCGUUCCACUAAAUUUGUUUGGGGUACAGAUGAGACCGCAACCUUUACAACAUUACAAAGAAAAAUGACCGACAUGUCGGUCUUAACUCUGCCUAAUUUUACAAAGAAAUUUAUACUUGAAACUGAUGCUUCGGGAGUAGCUAUUAAUGUUGUUUUAUCUCAGGAUGGCGACCAUAUCGCUUUCUUCAGCAAGAAGAUGUGCCCACGAAUGCAAGUAUCUUCCGUCUACGUCCGUGAGAUGUUUGCUAUCACAAAAUCAUUGAAAAAGUGGCGUUAGUAUCUUAUAAGGCAAGAGUUUCACAUCUAUACGGAUCAAACAAGCCUACGUAAAUCGUUGCUCCAACACAUUCCAACUCCUGAACAACAUAAAUGGGCAACUAAGUUGCAAGGAUUUCACUUUAAGAUUUUUUACAAACCUGGCAAAUCAAAUUUGGUAGUAGACGCCUUGAGUAGGAAAUACACCACGGCUGAACCCUUAUUACUGUCAAUCUCUUCACCAAUUCCAGACCUCCUUUCCACUUUGCGCAAAUGUUAUGCCAAACAUAAAGCGGGACAAAAUGUUAUUAGAAAACUUCUAGUCAGCGAGAGUGAUCAAAUACCCUACAAUUUUUCUAAUGGCCUACUAUUCUACAAAGAGAAAAUCUCCAUACCCGACAUAGAACGACUCCGUUUUAAUAUUCUUCAGGAAUUCCAUGCUACACCAACUGCAUGACACUCUGGACUCAAGGCAACUUUGGCUCGUAUCUCUACAUCUUUUUGUUGGUCGGUAUUUACAAAGAAGCCAAGACUUUGAUUAAGCAGUGUGACAUUUGCCAACACAACAAGUAUUUAACUAAGAAAAAGAAAGGAUUAGUGUAGUCGUUACUUGUACCAAAACGGGUGUGGGAGGAUAUUUCCGUGGACUUCAUCUCCCACUUACCCAACUCUUUUGGUCAUUCGACAAUCUGGGUCAUUUGCAAUCGUCUCACCAAAUAUGCUCAUUUCAUUGCCAUGCCUUCUCAUUUCACAGCACAAGAUCUUGCCAAACGUUUCACAGUUGACAUCGCCCGCCUUCAGGGUCACCUUAAAUUUAUUGUUUCAGAUCAGGACCCCUUGUUCCUCAGUACCUUUUGGAAAGCAUUUUUCAAAGAACAAGGUAUCACAUUAAAAUAUAGACUUAUAAGGAUCUAAUUGUUUCCAACACUUCAAGUCUCAAUAAGACUUCACGUUCCAACGAUACUUCUCCCACUACUCAAGUACAUGUUGGGCCAACCUCUACUGACGCGUUUUCCCCUCACACGGCUCAAGACAAUUUUCCGCCAUUUAACCCUUCGUGUGAUCUUCCACCUACCCCCACUUUUUCUCGUAAACCACACAACCAGCUAGAUUCCCUAACCCUUUCUGCGGCUGCUUCUCAUGCCGCCACGUGCCCCACUAAUCCUUCUCCCAACCCUAACCAUUCACUUGUCUUACCUGGCCCAAUUAAAUACUUUUCUGCCAGAAGCCCAAUUCCAACUACUAUUCACCCACGACCUUUCAUUCCAACGAAUUCCUCAAUUGUGAACCUUGAGGACAAGGUUCUUAACGAGCCCAUGAGUAUUAAUAAGAAUAAGGACAUGCCCACUAGAGAAAAGAAAACAUCAGUUCUUCUUAAAGAUUUUUAUUAAUAAAAGAGGGUGUAGUUAGCAAUAUUUUAUUUAAUUUAACUUUCUAUAAGUAUCUUGGCCCAUGUCUUAUUUAGUAGGUAUAAUCCUAGCUAUUUAUAUUGUAAUUGCGAAUUGCUAAGAAGAUAAGAAAGUUCAAGUUUGUUUUUAUGUCUAUUUCUUUUGCUACUACUUAGAUCUAGAACUUAACCUAGCAUAGUCUAACAACUAGAGUAUGGUAGUAAACAAGAUCCUUCGUCACAAUUUACAACUCAUCAACAUUUUAAUUGUUCCAUUAUCAAACUAUACUCUCAUUGAUCUCUCAUACUUAACAAUGCCAAAAGAAAAACUCAUCACAUUUUCUAUGCUCAUGGCCAUGACACCAUUCCGUUUGUACUACUAGCAUUCAAAAUUUUUUUAUAUCGAUCCUAUCAUCUCAUCCAAUAGACAACCUUUCACCAUCAACAUAACAUGUGUGACCACGCCCCUCUAACUACCACUACCAAGGUUUAAAAACUGAAAUUAUGGAUAUAUGUUGUGAUUUUUGAUAUUAUAAAUAAUUUUAUAGAAUUUGAGCUGAUGCUACCAUAAUUGCGGUUACAAAGACCACAAAAACCUGGAUGUUGCGACGAUUCAGUUGAAAACCAUGACUACUAUACAUAACCUUUUUCUUGAGGGAUAAUCAAUACAUGAUAAAAAUAUUGCAAAUUGAUUCAUUAAGAGAAGAAAAGAAGUUGAAAAUGAAGAAGAAGUGGAGAGGAAGACAAAACUCACUAACAAUCUCAAACACAAAAAAGUUGCUGGAGGAGGAGUCACUGCUAUUGGUGAUGUGGGGUCAAAAUUGUUCUACCACUUCUUCAAACCAUCUUAUAUUUUUGUUACCAAAUUAUUGAAGACAGGGAAGGUGGUUACUCUAGAUCUCUAGCAGUUUCUUUUUUGCGCUGAUGACAAUAAGUUUGGAUGAAUCUGACGGUGCCUAAAGUGAGGUGGAGCGAAGAUACUUUGUCACCUCCCAUGUAUAAUCCUAAUGUACUAUGCUCCUUCCAAUUAUUGGGUAUUCAGACACUUGAACAUACAUAUGUGGAGAUGAAGCAUUAGGACUAGUGUGGGAAGGUUCUAGAAUAGAAGAAGCAGCUAAGUUGGGGGAUUCUCAUGGUGAUUGGGCAUUAACAGAAGGAGAGACAGUUUCAGCAUAGUUAGGAUUAGGGGACUACAGAGGUAAAGAUGGUGGUGAAUCAUGAUUAAAGGUGGAAGUAAGAGAGUGUGUAGGGACAAGACUGGAUCGAUAUAGAGUGAAUGUGAGGGUGUGAAGAAAAUAGGCAAGUGUAAGGAAGCCUAGUCUCAUUAAACAUAACAUCUUUAGAGCUGACAAUUUCCCACUGGAAUCAAGACACUUAUAACCUCUGUGUGUUGGUGAGUAACCAAAGAAGACACAUUCCUUUGAGUGCGUGCAUGGCUUGUUUGUGUGUGUUGUAGGGUCGUAAGAAAGUAAAACAACUUGUUAUUUAAUCGAUAGGUUAUACCUGUUUGCUGGAGGAGCGUUGUUGUUUCUGAUAGAAGAAUCAGUAAAUGGAAAUUCCAAAGGGAGAUAAAGCACGGACCCGAGAAAAAGAAAGAGUGACGAGUUUUUGAGGUUUGGGCAGCUUUAAUAAAAAAAAUAGGAUUAAGUGUUUUUUAACUUUUUAACCAAAAAAACAUUAACUAACCUGAAGUGGACCUUAAAAUAAGUGAGAGAUAUUUUUAUCUGCAUUCUAAUAACUUUUUAUUAUGUAUCAAAUUAUCUUUGUCAAACUUUUAUUAUUAAAAGAGGGCGCAAAGUAUUCUAUUAAAAAUUGGCAUGAAUUGAAAAAUCUCAAAGUGUAUUAAAAAAAAUUAGUAGAAAUUUACCUAAUUUUUUUAAAAAACCGGUGGGUAGAAAGACAUACUGAAUUUAAAAAAAAAACACCAUGAUUUAUCAAUUUUUCUAUCAAAAUGCUAAAAAUUCAGUAAGUUCAUUGUCACUACAAUUCGUUAUCAUAAUAAACAAUUCAUUGUCAUGUUGCCCCUGCCUAAACAAUUUUUUAAAAUCAAGCUUGCAACAAACAAUUUCUUAUGUUAAUUUACUUUAUCGCAUUUAUUUUUUCUGCACUUUAGUAUUCAAAGUUCUUCUAAAAGCAUAAAUAAAAAUAAAAACACACAAGUUAUUGUCUUAAAAUCGAGAAAGUAUCGAUAAUCUAACUCUCCCCCUCUUAGAUUACAUUGUAUACUUAUAUUUUACAUCAGAGCACGUUGUAGAUAACUUGUUCCUAAGAUCUAGAAAAUGGCUUCCGUGAUUUCAAUUUUUAGAGGCGGUGGUAGCAACAAUAAGCCUCAUUUCUUCUGUGGUGAAUAUUAUGAUUUGAAAAAUUCGUAUGCAAGCACAUCUUGAAGCACAAAGAGAAGAAGUGUGGGAUGAUGUUGAAGAUUAUUCUUAUUUUCCUAAAAUGGUGAUCAACAAUAUAUAACAAGAAAAAAAUGAAAAUUUCUUGGAAUGAAGAUAAUAAGAAAAAAUGUUCUUUCUGAUAGAUGUAUUGUCCUAAGUUGAAAGGAAUUUGUAUUAAAAAUAAGACAAAACUAUAAAUUAUUUGGCUUUUUAUUAAACAGCAGCAAAAGUGUACUUGUUAUUAACUUGAUAGGUUAUACCUGUUUGUUGGGAGAGCGUUCUUCUUGAGAGACGGCGUUGCUGUUUCUGAGAGAAGAAUCUGUAAAUUGAAAUUCCAAAAGGAAAUGAAGCACAGACCGGAGAGAAAGAAAGAGUGACGAGCUUUCGAGGUUUGACAACCAUAAUGAGAAAACUUAGGCAAUUUCUCAUUGCACCCUUUUAUAAUCUCUUAGAAUUCUAAACACAUGUCAUGUACAAAUUUAGCAUAAUUUUAGAGCAUGAAAUCCAUACAUCAACAUAAUAUAUAUCAUGAAUUUUUCAUAGACACACAAGAAAUUCAUGAACAACAAAACAAUGGCAAAUCAACCUACAGGAGGGAGAUUAAAACCUUGUUGUGGAGGUGGUCUUUCAUUGGGGAGAUUACUUAUCCCAAUUGUAGUUUCUAUGAAUUUAGUAGGGAUCCUAUACUAUUCCUUUCAUAGUUACAAUUGGUCUAUAAUUUCCUUUUUUGUGCGAGAUAAUCUCGUUUCGUUGUUGUAUUCGGCUUUCGAGAACCCUUAGUUCUCUUAUC